rnacentral:rRNA from 1 species
GCAAGUCGAACGGUAACAGGAGGAGCUUGCUCCUUGCUGACGAGUGGCGGACGGGUGAGUAACGCGUAGGAAUCUACCCGGUAGAGGGGGAUACCAGUUGGAAACGACUGUUAAUACCGCAUAAUAUCUGCGGAUUAAAGGUUGCCUUUGUGCAGCCGCUACCGGAUGAGCCUGCGUUAGAUUAGUUAGUUGGUGGGGUAAAGGCCUACCAAGACCGCGAUCUAUAGCUGAUUUGAGAGGAUGAUC